UCUUUCCGUCCUGCUCAGGAACAUUUGCUUUGCGUUCAUCUUUAGUCGUAAAAAACUUCAUUUCUUGGUUAAUGCUGAUUGAUGUGGUUUAGAACAGAGGGCGGAGGGUGACGAUCAGUGUGCCGAAAUAACAAAAGAAGGGAGGAACGGAAGGUGAGUGUUUCUUAUUAGUGAGAAAAUGAGGUGGGAGAGCGUUAAAGUAGUGAUGAGAUCUAAGGAAAACCUGGAAGAGAAGAAAUCACUAGGAAUGAAAAGUGAUACAUUGGGGCCUGGUAAACGAUGGGGUCACACAUGCAAUUCCAUCAAAGGCGGCAGGUUUCUGUAUGUUUUUGGUGGUUAUGCGAAGGAUAAUUGCCAGACAAAUGAUGUUUAUGUCUUCGAUACGGUUAAACAAGCGUGGAGCAAGCCUGUGAUGAAAGGAAUUCCACCUUCGCCAAGGGACAGCCACAGUUGUACCACUGUGGGGACUGACCUUUAUAUCUUUGGGGGUACUGAUGGAAAAAAUCCAUUGAAGGAUUUGCAUGUGCUUGAUACCAAUCCAUGAAAAUAGUGAACCAGAUUUUGUGCUUCAGCCUGCUCAAUAACCUCAAACUUCAGCUGCUGCAAAAGAAGCUCCUUCAACAAACUGUGUACUCCCAGAAGGAGAAACUAUCUCUACAUCCUCAAAGCAGGGUUUAUGCUGAGCCUAUGUAAAUGAUUUAGAAACAGCAACCGAGGAAGAACUAACACAACGGGUGGUGCACUACUGGGGGUGACUAAAAAGUUUGUGGACAUAGAAAAUUACUUGAAAUUACUAUUGAUCAGGGUGGUAGCAGAUAGCUGGUAUGGUUUCAUCCAAUUUUGCCGAUCUCCAUGCUGCGAGUCAAAGGGGCGCAUGCAUUGACAAUCUUGAUUUGGCAUCAGCAGGGGAUCCUGUACCAAGCAAGCUGUUGAUUACCAAUGUCUCCUUUUUACGCUGUAUUUUUAUCCAAGGAAGCAAAUGUAGAAUUCCCAGAAGGGAAAGUUCCAAUAUUAGCAUGCAUUUUGAAGUUAUUGUUGUCUGUUGUACUUAAACCUCAGUAUUGUAUCCAGGAAAUUGCAUGUACCAAGAGUUGUAGGUGAAAUGGAAAUU